rnacentral:rRNA from 1 species
UAUUCAAUACUUGAGUUGGCAAACGGGGUGAGUAUAAUGUAGGAAUCUACCUUUUGGUUUGGAAUAACACGGGGAAACUUGUGCUAAUACCGAAUAAGCCUUUACGGGGAAAGUUUUAAUUCCGAAAGAUGAGCCUGCACUUGAUUAGCUAGUUGGUAAGGUAAAAGCUUACCAAGGCAACGAUCAAUAGCUGUUCUUAGAGGAAGACCAGCCACAUUGGGACUGAGACACGGCCCAGACUCCUACGGGAGGCAGCAGUGGGGAAUCUUGCACAAUGGGGGAAACCCUGAUGCAGCGAUGCCGCGUGAGUGAAGAAGGCCCUUGGGUUGUAAAACUCUUUCGUCGGGGAAGAAAAUGACUGUACCCGAAUAAGAAGGUCCGGCUAACUUCGUGCCAGCAGCCGCGGUAAUAUGAAGGGACCUAGCGUAGUUCGGAAUUACUGGGCUUAAAGAGCUCGUAGGUGGUUAAAAAAGUUGAUGGUGAAAUCCCAAGGCUCAACCUUGGAACUGCCAUCAAAACUUUUUAGCUAGAGUGUGAUAGAGGUAAGUGGAAUUUCUAGUGUAGAGGUGAAAUUCGUAGAUAUUAGAAAGAACACCAAAUGCGAAGGCAACUUACUGGAUCAUUACUGACACUGAGGAGCGAAAGCAUGGGUAGCGAAGAGGAUUAGAUACCCUCGUAGUCCAUGCCGUAAACGAUGUGUGCUAGACGUUGGAAAUAUAUUUUUCAGUGUCGCAGCGAAAGCAUUAAGCACACCGCCUGGGGAGUACGACCGCAAGGUUAAAACUCAAAUGAAUUGACGG